CGCUGGCGGCGUGCCUAAUACAUGCAAGUCGAACGGUCUUUCUAUGGAAGCUUGCUUCCACUGAGAAGAUAGUGGCGAACGGGUGAGUAACACGUGGGUAACCUGCCCAUAAGAGGGGGAUAACAUCCGGAAACGGGUGCUAAUACCGCAUAGUUUUCUUGAUCGCAUGAUCGGGAAAGGAAAGACGGCCUUUGUGCUGUCGCUUAUGGAUGGACCCGCGGCGUAUUAGUUAGUUGGUGAGGUAACGGCUCACCAAGACGAUGAUACGUAGCCGACCUGAGAGGGUGAUCGGCCACAUUGGGACUGAGACACGGCCCAAACUCCUACGGGAGGCAGCAGUAGGGAAUCUUCCGCAAUGGACGAAAGUCUGACGGAGCAACGCCGCGUGAGUGAAGAAAAGGGUUUUCGGAUCGUAAAACUCUGUUGUCAGAGAAGAACAAGUUGGAGAGUAACUGCUCCAGCCUUGACGGUAUCUGACCAGAAAGCCACGGCUAACUACGUGCCAGCCGCCGC
rnacentral:rRNA from 1 species